rnacentral:rRNA from 1 species
GACGAACGCUGGCGGCGUGCCUAACACAUGCAAGUCGAACGGAGAUGUAAUUUCGGUUAUAUCUUAGUGGCGAACGGGUGAGUAACGCGUGAGCAACCUGACUCUUAGAGGGGGGAUAACACCCCGGAAACGAGUGCUAAUACCGCAUAAGACCACGACAUGGCAUCAUGACGAGGUCAAAGGAGCAAUCCGCUGAGAGAGGGGGCUCGCGUCCCAUUAGAUAGAUGGCGGGGUAACGGCCCACCAUGUCAACGAUGGGUAGCCGAGCUGAGAGGCUGAUCGGCCACACUGGAACUGAGACACGGUCCAGACUCCUACGGAGGCAGCAGUGGGGAAUAUUGGGCAAUGGGCGCAAGCCUGACCCAGCAACGCCGCGU